AUAUAAUAUUUUCAAUCAAUGUCAAAAUUAAAAUUAUACAAUAUGAGACUUAAUCCAAAUAAUAGGGUUGUCAAUUGAUAACAUUCUAAAUAGGUACAUAUUUAUAUUUUGCAUACAUAAUAUGUGUGUGUGUGUGUGUACGUGUGUGUGUGUGUGUGUGUGUUCAAACAAAUUGCUACUAAUCAUAACACAAAAUAUUACACCGGAUGAAAAAAAUAAUAACCGUUACUAAAAUUAUUGCAAACUGAACGACCUUUUUAUGUAUUGUUACAGGUAUAAAUACGACGUCUACGCUAAAACGAGUCCGGAUCUACGGGAACAACGAAAACAUUUAUACACGAAAAAUUGGUCCAUUUAAACAUCCAUAAAUAUCUAAAAAUAAAAUAUUUUAUACCCAUAGUGUUUCGUUUGUUAAUUUUCAUUACAUUUUCCAACCGCUUGAUCGACGAACAAUCUUUUACAAUAUUGUUUGUUUUUUGUUUUUGUUUUUUUUUUUUUUUGUUUUUUUUUUUACGUUUUUCUACAUAACAUUUAUUAUAUUAUCAUCAUGCUCGGUUAUUAUAGGAAUCAAUAGUAAUAAUAAUAAUAAUAAUUAAUAAUUAUACAUGUAUAUAUAUAUAUAUAUAUAUAUAUUGGUUUUGUUUUUCUGUUUAUGUAAUCUACAACAACACUUUUUUUUUUUUUUUUUUUUUUUAAAGCGAAAAUUCAUUGGAAUAUUAUGCGACUAAACUAAAAUAGCGUUAAAAUAAUAAUAGUAAUUGUAUAU